UGCCGUGGCCGAUUUGGGAACAUACAGUUCAGUAGGGUAAGAAUCACAAACCUGUCACGGAAAAUACAUGGGGAUUUUAAGGCCAUCUAGUAAUGCCUUGUGAACUGCCACAAGAAAUUCCAUUCACCAUACUUACUUCUAAGGUGCACAUUUAAGUUUUCUUAAUCAAGUUACAGAGACUAUUUUGAGGAAACCAACAGCCACUUCAGAGAAGUGAGGAGCUGUUGAUUCCAUGAAAUCAUGGCAAAGGAGAGCAAACACCAUCCUUUGGCACGGUCCCUUCUGAGGGCACUCUGAGUGGCAAGAUAGCAACAGGUGAGCAUUUCUUUCAUCAAAAAUGAAGAAAUUAUAAUUCGGCAUCUUGGUAGCUGAAAAAAGUUCAGCUGCCUGUUUGGAGUGAAAGAUAGCCCACCAGUGGGAGGCAAGUGCCAGCAGUGAGCCCCCCAGGGGAACCUCUCCGUCCCUGGCACACCCCAGGCUCACUCUUGCCUCUGAGCUGGCAGUCAAGGCCAUGCCCUCCCUGGAUAUUUCUCCCCCUCGAUCCUCCCAAAUCUUCUCCAUUCUUCAAGAGACAACCCAACUCCACCUCUUUCAAGAAGCUUCCUCCCAAAGCCUCCAGCUCAGGGAAGCCUCUUGGUGACCUUGUGUACCAAUCAAGAGUUCAGUGAGUACAGAGAGGAGCUGGUGCCAGACUGCCAUCAGAGUCUCUGUGACUUCCCCACUAAUCACUCGCUACACUAUAAAAAGAGCUGAUGGGAGAACUUGGCACUGGCCGGCUCUCCCCACCACUGCCUGGCGAAGAGGCCCACCACUGGGCUUCUCUGGGUCUCCAGCUCCUCAAUCAUGAGGGAAAGUUGCAGGUAAGAAUUGCACUUGUAAUAACCAAGGGAGACUUGUAAAUCCACAGAUCUAUAUCUACAAAGAGCUAUAAAAACUAAAGGAGAUUAAACAGAAGUCACACUAAGCUA